rnacentral:lncRNA from 1 species
AUAAGCAAACCCAGAGUCUCCCAAGUAAUACUAGCUAAAUCUCCUAUUUCUUCGAGUAAAGGAGUCAUUUCAAGGUCCCCGAAGUGAAAUACAGUCUGGUCGUUAUCCCAUAGCAGUGUUGCAACCUCUAUGAUUUUGUUGUCAGGCUAGAUUUCUAGAAGACAAGGCAAAUUCACUAAGUAUUUGCGGACGAGCGUCUGAUCACUUGAGUGGAGGUCUUUCCACCAAUUUAGCAGCCUUGGAUGAAUGCUUGUUACCGUGCCAACUGGGGACUUCGUGCCUCAUUUUCUGGCAAACAGGGUUUUAGGACCUUACGCCACCAGACUUGACUAUUUAAACCAAUAAUUAGCAUAGCAAGCAUUUAGUUCUCCAAAUAAAUGCACAUAACAUGGUGGUGUCAAAUUGUGUUUCGAGGAAACCGGUGGACUUUGGACAAGUCUAUCUUAAUGAGUCAUUAUGUGGACAAUAUAAUUGACUCGGCUAGGCUUGACCAUGAUGCAUAUAUAGUUAAACAGAAUAAGGUUUCUAUUGGGGUAUUAGACAGGUACCCUUGAGCGAACAACUCAAGUGGGAAAGGCACAGAACCGUCAACUACACCGCUGAUCGACUGGUUUUACCGCAAAUACGCUUUUGCCAAAUUUAAAGGUGAUAAUAUUGGAAUAGCCCAACCACUAAUUAUAAGUGUUGCUAUCGUGUUUGUUUGGGAACGAGUGGAAUAUUAUGUUGAAGAUGCAGUUUACAAGAAUGAAACAAAUUGACAUGUAUUUCCACAUUCAUAAAACAAAUGAUUACAAUAAUUGCUCGUAAUUACAAAAGUAUUGAAAUAAAGCAGUAAAGGAAAGCAGUUAAAGGAAAGAAAAGACAUGAAGAUCCAAGUUAGUUUUGUAGUAAAGGAAAAAAAGACAGUAAGUAAAUGCAAUUUAAAAAUAAUAAAGCCACAAGUAGCAUGCAAUGGUAAAAGCCUAAAGAAAUCCCCAUCAGAGUCGCCAUGCUGUCGACGCCACCUUUUUCUUUAUUGAAAUCGGGUAUACGACAUUUGAGAGGACAACUUUAUUCCCUUUCGAGAAUUGGGUUUAGGAGUUGAAGAGUCUCCCCCUAAUGAUUAUAGUGCAUUAGGACACUUUUAGAAGAGCUUGAGAUGAAGAGGCCAAAGAUUAGGGUAAGGGAUAGAAAUUAUCCCAAGGGGAAGGUGUUAGGCACCCCUUAGGAUCCACAAGUGUUGUUCCUGGCCAAGCUACAAUUGUGACUUUAGGAAGACAAGUAAAAAAAUAAAUCAAAGGGUUUUAUAUAGUUUUGCAAACAAGUUUAAGAGUUGAAGAGAUAGAGAAGUUAGAAAAAUCAAUUUUAAAAGAAAACUUGAAAAAUUAACAAGCAAAGGGAAAAAGUUCCUAGGUUUACAAAUAAAAUGGAUCACGUCAAUGAAAUAUCAUGAAAUUGCUCCUUAGAAGAGGGGCCGCACAUGAUAUUGGCGCAUCGAUCAACAUAUUCAUAUUCUACCCCUCCCACUCCGUUAAGGUAUUAAAGCACGAAAAUUUUCGUUUCUUAUUGCAUGUUAGUACCCAUCCUAAUCCUAUCAGUCCCGGAGGCGUUUAGGACUACUAAUUCUAAAGGGAAAGGGAUUUCGGUCCUUUUGAGAGUUUCAAAGGAUAAAAUACUAUGGCUUCAAUUAAAAACACAAAAUGCAACAAAAGGGGAAAAUAGAUAAGCAAGUAAGGCUCACAUAAACCUCCUUAAACCAGACAAAUCAUGUAGUUUACCAUGUCUUGCAAGUACUCAUUUGAUCUUAAAUUAAAGCGACGAUCGGACUGGUUUAACAUAUACUUUUAGACUGGAAUUCCGCAUUAGGCUCACUUGAAUGCAGUUGUCAAAGAUUUAUCCACUUUAAUUAACAUGCUUUUAUCUAAGUGGGACAAAACUAAUGAUUGUAAAAAUUUGCAGAAUAAGAGAAGUUUCAUAAAAAAAAUCACAGACUUAACACAGGAAAAAGGUUUUUAACGAGUUUUAGAAAAAAACAUACUAUUUAAGAAAAGAGUUGCCGAGUUUUAAUCAAAGGAAUGAAUUGCAGACUGAUUCAGAAAGAAAGAGCUUAUAAGUACUGAAAUGAGAUUGAUUUGAAAAUGCUUGUCAAGUUAUCAGAAAAGAAGUGAGUUUUCACAAAAUAUGCACCAAAUUAAUUAUGAGGCAGUUUUAGAAAGUUCAGAAAGUGUGUAUAAUUGUUUGUUUUGGUAAAGAAAAGUGGUACUGUUUAAGACGAGUAAGUUAGUUCUUAUUUGAAGUUCCUAUAGGCAUGAUCUCUACGAGUUACUGAUUUUAAUACCUUUCAACAGCCUUAUUAACACGAUAUCUAUGUGUUUAUUUAUCAUUAAACCUAAUGGUUUGCAUAAUGACAUUAUAAAUGCAGAAAUGCAAAUCCCUAUUGGCAUGGUAUCUAUAUGCACAGUUGCAGAAAUUAAAGUUAGAUCCUAUAGGCAUGAUUUCUACUUGUAAAAUGCAUAGAUUACCAGUAAAGGUCCUAUACGAAUGGUUUCUACCAUUUUUUGUGCAUGAAAGUAAAUCCCACCCCUUUUACUAGUUUCCCCGAGUUUAUAAAAAUUAUUAAAGACCCGUAAAAAUAAGACAGAAAUUAAAAUACAUCAGAAGUUACAGUUGCAUCCAAGGAACUUAAUGCAAACUUAAUAUCUAAUAUGAGAUUGAACCACUUCCGAGAUCCAGAUUUCCAAAGCCUUCUCUUUAUCCAGUCUGUUUCAAAGUUCCAAGGAAUUUCAAGAAUUCCAGGCAUUGCUUACACCUAUGAUACCAAUCAGAAUGAGUUGUAGUGCAGUGUGGAAGAGCCACCUCUCAGGUGUCCAAGUUCAGAGGGAGGUCAUGAGUCCCAAAGCAUGGCUCACAAGAGAGGGGAAGAACUUAAUGUUAUAAGAAUGAGUGUAAGUGCAAAAGGUGUUGGGGAAUGCCAUAAAAAGUUAGUUGUCAUGCCCAGCCACAAAGUAGGCUGGCACACCCCUGACCAAAACAUGUCCAGCCACACAAAUAAGAGCACAACCCUAUUGAAGGUCAAACUAUGGUCUAGACAAUGAUUAUGACACUGCCAGACCAAGGUCUUAGGCUCGGAGUGCACAUAAGAGGAAAGUAAUCCAGUCCAUAUACAUGAACAAGAAUGUCAAAUGUUGUAAUGCUUUCAUAACCAUGACUCAACAUAUAAAGGAGUUUAGGGAUGGGGAGUUCAUAUAAGAUAAGGAAGAACAAAUUGCAGAAAGUAAUAGAAGCAAACACAUAGAGAACUGAAUCAUAAUCACAUAGAAGAGAGGCAGUAUUAAACUAAAAGAGGCAUGCCAGUUUCAAAAGUAAAUAUAAAGAGAAGCAGAACACUUGCAGCCACAACACAAAGAAAGCUAACUUGUAAUUUUAGAGAAAACUUGAAUGCUUUUUGAGAGAACUUAAGAGUGUAUGAGAGAAGAAGUAGUGAGUAUAUGUGUGAGUUCGUUAGAACUUGUCUUGUUUGAAAGAGAAGAAUGUAGGUAUUUAUAGCUUUGAAAACGUGUAGAGAGUAAGGUAGUAAGUAAAAUUUAAACACAAAUAUGGAAACAAUCACAAGUUAGAAUCAAUUAACCCAAGUGAUUCCCCUUUAAUUAAGGAAACACUGCUU